CACUAUUACUAUUGUCCUAGUGUUACAUCUACAACAUUUAUCUCCUUUUGAGAUUUUUCUUCCUGGAAAAAUCCUUCCUUGUCCUUCUUUAUGUUGGAAUGUUACCUUAUGCUAGGGUUUAAAAUAUGGCAACCCUUCCUUGUGCAUUUUUACCUAGAUUAAUUUCUUGGUUGGUAUGGAUGUCGAAUUACCCACAUCUUAAGGAUAUCCUUUCCUUUCCUUACCUUCUAGGAUGACGACCAUUGCAAGAGUGGCUUUAGCUCUGGCAGCAAAGAUUAUGAUCACUUGAUACUAGGAGAUAUGUUCCUCAGAGAAUACUACAGUAUAUUUGACAGGGGGAACAACCAAGUUGGACUGGCAAAGGCAGUGUAAAAAAAAUUCUGCAUUUAAACUAUGCAAGUGCUGUAGUUUCUCAUUUAAUCAACUAAUGCCAGCGUCAUCCUAACUUCAUAGCAAUGUAUUUGAACAAAUACUAUCACUUGGUGUCCUAUUAAAAAUUUUAUUUGUCAAAUGUCUUUAAAGAAGAUGCAGGUGGUAGCGUUGUUGUGGCAUAUAUGAUCUGAAAAUUAUGUAUUUCAAAUUAAUAAACUGUUCCACGGCUAA